UGAAUAUUACAAUUGCUUUUGCACACAAAAGUCCUUGUCUUUAAUUUCCUAAAUCAAGCUUCAGACUAAUCUUUGACCACUUUGGAGUAUUUUUCUAAAAACUGCUUCGUGUGUUAUCAAUCAUUGUCUUGAUCCCUGACGAAACUUGAAAUAACUUCUGCCAGAUGUGAAGAGUGAUACAGCAAUAGCCUGCUAGGAAUGAAAUUGAGAAAUCUUUCUUAAUGCUUGCAUAAGACUAAUUCCUUGGUAGUGCAGAUGAGCCAGUGAAGGAAUAUCAGUAUGUGGAUUGCCAACUUUUCCCCUGUACCAUGUUUUUGCAAAAGGCAUCCAUAAACAUUUUUUUUAAAAUUUGGCAUUCAGAUUUAAAGUGAAAUGUGUAAAGCUGUAUGAUGGGUUGACUAAACCAAAGCUACUCUAUUCAUAGAUUUUGCUUCUGUCCUAUCUUUUCAUCUUUGCAAUUAGUUUCACUGUUUCUCUUUUUUUGUAUGCCAUUUCUUCUUUUAUGUUUUCUUUUCUCUUGUAGCAUUCGGCCUGUGUGGAAGUUCUUAUAGGAUUUGUAAUGCAGUCUUGUCAUUGAUGUUGAUAACCACAGGCAGUUCUGGCUCUC
rnacentral:lncRNA from 1 species